rnacentral:rRNA from 1 species
GCCUAACACAUGCAAGUCGAGCGGAGAUAUUUGAAUAGUUUACUAGGAAAAUAUCUUAGCGGCGGACGGGUGAGUAACGAGUGGGCAACCUGCCUUACAGAGGGGGAUAACAGUGCGAAAGCACUGCUAAUACCGCAUGACAUUCAUUGACUGGAUGGUCGAUGAAUCAAAGGAGAAAUACGCUGUAAGAUUGGCCCGCGUCUGAUUAGCUAGUUGGUGAGGUAAAGGCUUACCAAGGCGACGAUCAGUAGCCGAUCUGAGAGGGUGAUCGGCCACAUUGGAACUGAGACACGGUCCAAACUCCUACGGGAGGCAGCAGUGGGGAAUAUUGCACAAUGGGCGAAAGCCUGAUGCAGCAACGCCGCGUGAGCGAUGAAGGCCUUCGGGUCGUAAAGCUCUGUCCUCAAGGAAGAUAAUGACGGUACUUGAGGAGGAAGCCCCGGCUAACUACGUGCCAGCAGCCGCCGUAAUAC